GGCCUCCUGGCCAGGGCCUGCCCUGGGGAGCCCCUGUCUCCGGCCAGCUGUGCGGGCGCAGUGGCCCACCGGCCCUGUCCCCGGCAAGCAGGUGUCAUAGUGCAGAGCUCGAGCGGGAGGUGGCGGCGGCCGCACAGUCCCAGCCUUGGCUCCUUCCCUCGCACCUGCACGCGGGUCCUGGGUGCUAACGGGGACUGGCCUGGCCGGGUGCCCUGCUCGGAGCCGGAGCGUGGAGCCCAGCUGGGGAGGAGCCGCCGGGGGAUGGGCCGCGAGUGCAGGAGCCUCUUCUAUUUUUAAAGCGGAGACUCAGCUCCAGCCUCAGCUCCACGGCUGGGCUUAACUAUUCGCAUGGGACAGGAAGGGAGAACCUGUGAACCCCCAUCUCCCGCUCGCUGGAGACAGAGGACAAAGGAACUCGAGGUCACUUCUCCGCUGAGAGGUGCCAGGGGUCAAUUUCAGUAAAAAGGAGAAUUCUCACCCUAAACGGCAGAGCAAGGAGAGAGGGAAACCGCAGGCGUGGGCUGGAGUGUUCUGCAGGCACGUGAAGCUAAAACGGGCUACCCUGGGCCCGAUGGAGCCGAGAGCAGUGACGGCGCCUCCGGAGGGGCCCAGGGACGGCCUGAGCCCGCGGGCCUGUCACCUGCCAUCGACAUAUGGGCGGCUGCUGUCUUGAUGAAGGACGGUCAGGGAUUCUGGUAGCCACCUCCACCUUUCUAUCCCUAUGCUUCGGCUCUGCUUUCUGUUGGCAUUUAUGGAAAAGAACAUGAGGCGGGGGCCUGCCGUCCUAUAACAAGCUGGGUGACAACAGGAACAUUUCGGGAGUACGAUGGUCUCCCCUGCACCGCCCUGUCUGGAGCUGCUGCCGUGUUCCAUCGCCACCCAAAUUAUCACUGAUGGUCACCAGGAUCUUUUCCUGAUGUGGAAUUAAGCUUUAAUCCCACAAACUCCAUGACCUGGGGCACGCGGCCUAAUGAUACCUCGGUUUCCCCUUCUAUAAAACGAAGACCUUGGAGAAGAUGACUGUUCUGACUCUCACAUUGUUUGAUUCAGAAUCGAUGACUAAUGUACAAAGGGCAAGAUGGCACAUGAGCUGGGACCACAAAGGAGGACCUUCCCAGUGAAACCGCAGCCCUGGUCCUGCUCAGCGAAGGCAGCUUGUGCAAGGGGCACCUCCCAAGGUGCUGGAAGGGGCUGAAGCAUGGUCAGUGAAGGGGCUUAUUCAAUCCGCCCUGUUUCCAUGUCCAGUUGUCAGGAACCACAGGCUCUUUGUCUUCAGGUGGUUCCCAUGAGGGGACUGUGCGAAUCGAGGCAAGCCACACUGUAAAGGGAAAUACUCACUUCUGCUUUAAAAGAAAUCUCAAUUUUGAGCUUCGGACUCUUUGGCUUUGUACUUUCAUUGCUGUGAGAAAAAUACAGGCUUUGUACUUUAUUGUAAGAAUUGGGACAAUUUUUCUUCUUAAAAAACUUUGGACACCGGGUACUGUAAUCAUUGCUAGGACUGUCCCCUCCCCUGAGUUGUGUUAAGAGUACACACGUCUGUGAUGUCACAGAUCUACUACACGGUACCUCUUAAGUAGUGGGUACUAAAAAAAAAAAAGAAAAAAGUCCAAGCAUCAUUUGUGUAUGGAAUUCCAAAGAAUACUUCAAUACUUCAAGAGGGCUUUAUAUAGUCCACGGGCUGGGGGGGUGAUAAAUUUCCAGUGCAGUGAAGAGAAAAAAAGCUAUUGGAUUUCAUCAUAGCUACAUAGUUAAGAGAGAUGUGUGCAGAAUACAUAUAAUAACUCACAUCAAUAAUCAAGUGGAUUCAGGAAAUAAUAAUUACUCCUUUCAAAAAUUUCAAGAGCCUCCAAAGCAAAAGUAAUUAAAAAAAAAAUGACUCCAGGAAAUUGCAGGAAGAUGUCGUUACAGUUAAUUUACUGGAAAAAAUAAGGAACAGAAUAUUAAAUCUAUGGAGGAGCUCAACUGUAUGAUUUCAUUAAUAGAAAAUGCACAGUGCAGUGAAUGUGUUUGGGACUGAAUCAUUCAGAUGCUGGGUAUCUAUGAUUGUAUAAAUACGAACGUACUAUGGGAUAUCUGGAUGUAUAGAAGAAUCUAGCAUCUUUCCUUGUGUCGGUGUAAAAGUGGAUUGGGUAAGUGGCAGGAUAUCAUUGGGCCCUGUGAGGAGCCUGAUGUUUUAAAGCAAACCAGUGUUAGAUAAGACACGGCAGGAAAUAAUUAAAAUUAUAGUCCGCAGACGAUAAUGGACUCUGAAGUGUUACGUGCUAGAAAAAACAUCUGAAAUACACUGUAGAUUAGAGAUGAUGUACAAGUACUAUCCGCAAAGGCUAAAAUAAAACUGUACGUGUUUUAGAAGGAUAUAGGAAAUGAAAUAGGGCCAUUCUAUUCCCAUUUUAGCCAACGCUAAUGUGUCAGAAAACUCGAGCACCUAUGUUUGGGCCGGUUGCCAAUCCUCAGUGAGAAAGUGCUGUGAAGGCUGGAAAAGUUUCAAAGGACCCCAGAAACCAUCAAAGAGCUGAAGGCACUUCUGUGGGAGAGCAAUCUCAAUACUGGGGAAGUUUCAAAAUGGAAAGUUGAAAUCUAAGAGGGAUUAGGGUGGAAAGAAAUCUAUGUAUAAUUAUACAAUGCACUGAUAGGAGUGAACACACAUUUUCAAGAAAUUCUGAAAAACUAGACAGUUGGAUCAACUUCUGACAGUUUUAAAAUUACGUUUGGGACACAAAUGUGAACUCUCUUUUUUGGUUUACACAACCAAUCACAAAGUUCAGGAGCUCCUUGCUUCCAAAAGGCGGUGUUGAACUACCCCCCGAAUCUUCAGAAACAGCUCAAGAUGAAUGGACUCCAGCUCGGAUCCAGACACUAUGAAGAUAAUUGGUGGGCCAGGAUAUAACAGGAGAAAGGAAUAACGAUAUUGUUAAAUCAAGAUUUUUCUGAGACAAGAUUUUUAAAAGCUGAAAAAAAUCUCAUCAUAAAAAAGAACUUUCCAGACCAUCUAUCAGGAAUGUGUCCAAAAGAUAAACUGAAGUUGAGAGAGGGUAGGUGGUGUCCUCACGUCCCCCUGAGUGUUGCCGGCACAGCAAGACUAGAACCAAGACUGCUGCUCCCUUAUCUGUUCUCUUUCCAACGUACGGUAUUGCUGCUUGACACCACGGGCAGACAAAGCUAAGCCGGGGACAGUAAAAUAAGGAAGGCAAGGGGCACCUGGGUGGCUCAGUCGGUGGGGCGUCCAACUCUUGAUUUCGGCUCACGUCAUGAUCUUGGAGUCCUGAGAUCGAGCCCCACGUUGGGCUCCUCGUUCGGUGUGGAGUCUGCUUUGGAUUCUUUCUCCCUCUCCCCCUCCCCCCACUCGUUUUCUCUUUCACUCUCUCUCUCUCUAGAUAAAUAAAAUCUUUAAAAAAAAAAUACGGAAGGCAAAAAGGAGAUCUAGCAAUGUAACCCACAUACGCCCUAGGUUUUUGUAAGGAUUCAGUGAGUUUAUGAUCGCGCAUGUUUAGAAGAGUCCCUGGCACAGAAUGAAGGACUGCAUUGGUGUCUGCCAUCCUUGUUCCUCCUCCUUCCUUCUCUGUAGCCACUUGGUUGCAAUGUUCUGUCUCUACCAACUACCAGCCUGAAAAUCAAACAAGGUCCACAAAUCCAUACAAGGAAUGACAUCGGCACCCCGUGCUCUGUGGUCUGAGCACAACAGCUGCCGGGAAGAAAAUCUGAUAUGUGCCCCGGACAAGGACUUAACAUAAGAACAAUUUUGCUCACCAUCCUCCUCCUGCCCAUAGUUCUAGCCACAAAUAGCUUUAUCACCAGGAACCAUGCGCUCAUGGGAGGUUGGGGCGCGGGCAGCAGGUGUGGGGCUUUAUGUUGAUCCUGAAGAGAGAGGCGCACUCAUGGUUGUCUCUGCCACGUCAAAUGCACUUGCAAGAGGGGGUCUUAGAGCAGAAAGCAUAGGGAGUCAGGAGUCCCAGGUGCCCUGGCCUCAAUCCCAGCCUGGGAUGCCAUGGCGGUGGCACACACACUUUGGUGGGCUGGCUCCCGAGUCCUGGGGGCGGCCUAUCCUUGCACAACUCUCCCACCCCACACUGUGGAGGCCACUGUUGUCUCUUGCCUUUGGGUUACCUUAACUACAGAGGAUGCUGGACAUGGAAACAAAGCAGCCCCCCAGCCUCCCGCACACACUGUGAUCCUUCAGCUGCUGGUGUAUGGAGAAGCCAGUCGUGUGCAUGGGCAAAAGCAAGAUUUAAAAAAAAUAAUAAUUUUCAUCAUUCCUACCACUUGACUGUCUAAGUCAGAGACUAAAAAACUUGGGGCACAGCCUUGAAGAGGGAAAAGCUGAAGUCCAGAGGUCUUGAUUACAGCAGAUAUUGACCCUUUUUAUAUCGGCCAGACCCCUUCUUGCAACCUCUGACGCUUGGCAGUUUCCUGACUUGCUUUAGAGAAAAGAAGAGAGCAAUCUCCUCUCAGUUCUAGUUCCCAUAUAGGGUGUUUGGGGUGUUUUCUGUAUGCCAUAUGCACUUUGAAGGGCCAUAAUGAGCAUUCAGCGUAAAGUGAACAAAGAAAGUACAUUUAGUAGUAUUUGAAGGUUGGCUCAGAAAGUUUGGCGUUUUAAGAAUAAAAAAGUAUCCGGGGUGCCUGUGUGGCUCAGUGGUUGAGCAUCUUCCUUUGGCUCAGGUCAUGAUCCCAGGGUCCCAGGAUCGAGUCCCACAUCGGGUUCCUUGCUAGGAGCCUGCUUCUCCCUCUGCCUGUGUCUCUGCCUCUCUCUCUAUGUCUCUCAUGAAUAAAUACAUAAAAUAAAAUAUUAAAAAAAGAAUAAAAAAGCAUUCACUUAGAGUGAGAAAUCAAAAGGUAAAUGAAUAGCAUCCCUCACCAAAAGGCAAGCCAGCUUUGAGUUUAUAUGAGAUGAAUACGAUACUUGAAGACAUUAACAGCCAUUCACUGAUCCUAGUUAAAAAGAGACGGGUGACGGGUUUGCUUGGUUUGAGGAGGAGGGCUGGUGCCAAUCCAGGGGGCUGCAAGGCAUCAAGGAAAAAGGGACAGUAAGUCUGAUGAAGAAGAAGGAGGAGGGAAGGGCAUUAUUAUAGAUUUAACUUCUGGAUGGCAUUGAUUUUGUGUCUUCAUUUUUCUUUGACAAUUAACUCCCUGAGUCUCUCCAUGGACAUCUACUCAAUGUAUGUCAGAGUCCACACUGCCCGGCGAGGCAUGAGAAGAAUGGGCAAAGCGCUGUGUUGGAAGUGGUAACACAAUCCUAGGACUGAAGCUUGAAUCCCCUUCCUUUUCCUUUCCAUUUGCCUCCUUCCUUUGUUCCUUCCUACCUUGAUUAUUUGGUAAGUGCUGGCCAUGUGCUGGGCACUUUCCAGGCUUGAGGAUGACAGGAGUUGCUGUCUUCAAGAGGCUUACAGUCUGGUAACGAUCGGACCUGGUGGGUGGUGUAGUCAACAUCGAAUUUGUGUGGGGUAGCAGGUGGAUACGGGUAGAGCAGCCCGGAAAGCACUAAGCGAUUCUGUGUCUGGCUGGGGUGAUCACACAGACCCCCAAAGAUGGACUGCAACCCACUACUGAGCUCACUCUGGAAAAAGGGCACUGCUUGCUUCAUAAUAUAAACCAAAAAAAUCAAAGUUCUGUAAAUGGUGAAGAUGAGUGAUGUCAGAAGCCGCAUUAAAAUACCAAGAUUUGGGAUCCCCGGGUGGCUCAGAGGUUUGGCACCUGCGUUUGGCCCAGGGCAUGAUCCUGGAGGCCUGGGAUCGAGUCCCACAUCGGGCUCCCGGUGCAUGGAGCCUGCUUCUCCCUCUGCCUGUGUCUCUGCCUCUCUCUCUCUCUCUGUGUGUCUCUCAUGAAUAAAUAAAUAAAAAAUAAAAUACCAAGACUUAAAAAGAAAAAUACCAAGCCUUGUGUUUUGGCUUUUCUCUAACUAAAUCAAUAACCUUGAGCAAGGUCCCCUGCAUUUUAUACUGUUUUCUUCUGUGUAAAAGAGGCAUUAAUACCAUUGACUUUGUGGAGGACAAUUAUGAGGAUGAAAAGGGACGGGAUGUAUGGAAAGACUUUGUGAAUUACAAGAAAAAUAUGACAUAUUGUCGUCGGAAAGCAUGAGAUAGGUCAUGUAGAGUCAAAGCUGGCAAAAGAAAAGAUCAAGAGACAUGCUAACCACCCCUAUUAAGCCCAAUGCAGGGAGUUUGGAGAACAAGGAAUUCACUUUUUUCAUUUCUCAUCUUCCCCCCUGCGAUAUUAACCACAUUAAUAUUUACCAGGAAAACAUCUCGAUUUAAGAAAAGGCAGUACAUGAAAAAAUUAUAUUUACAAAAUAAAUAGAUUGUUUAUUUCCGAAGUGACAAGUUUAUGUGAGAAGAGCAAAAUCCAGUAAUUUACUAAAAGCUGUUUUGUACACAACUUUUAAGCAUGGCUGUUCAUGUACUCUGGUAUAUGUGUAUUUGAUGGGUAUUUUACCCAUUUUUUUUUUUUUAAGAUUUUAUUUCUUUAUUCACAAGAGACACAGAGAGA